CGCUUGUUUCCGUGGCUUCUGUGAGGCGAAAAGUUUAAAAAGGGUAAAAGUUUUAAAGAAUAUUCUGGAAGUCUGUUGGUAAGCCUAGCGAGUCUCCGUUUUCUCUCCGCAGCAGGCGUCGAUAGCGCGGUUCCGGAGAGGCGGGGAGAAUGCGGCCCUUGGACAUCGUCGAGCUGGCGGAGCCGGAGGAGGUGGAAGUGCUGGAGCCCGAGGAGGAUUUCGAGCAGUUCCUGCUCCCAGUCAUCAGCGAGAUGCGGGAGGACAUCGCGGCCCUCACCCGGGAGCACGGGAGAGCCCACCUGCGGGACAGGAGCAAGCUCUGGGAGAUGGACAAUAUGCUCAUCCAGAUCAAGACGCAGGUGGAGGCCUCGGAGGAGAGCGCCCUGAACCACCUGCAGAACCCCGGCGGUGGGCUGGAGGGCAGGGCGGCCAAGAGGUGCGAGAAGGCCGAGGAGAAGGCCAAGGAGAUCGCGAAGAUGGCAGAGAUGUUGGUGGAGCUGGUGCGGCGGAUAGAGAGAAGCGAGUCGUCCUGAGGGAGCGCGGGCGAGAGACAGCGAUAGAGGAAACACAAGCAGGGGGAGUGGGAGAGGCAGAAGCAGACUCCUUGCUGAGCAGGGAGCCCGAUGCGGGACUCCAUCCCGGGAUCCAGGAUCACGACCUGAGCUAAAGGCAGUCGCUUAACCGACUGAGCCACCCAGGCGCCCCGCGGUUUAUUUUAGAACGACAGUCGUUGCAGGUUUACAGCCACCGGAUUCUGGUCAACUGAUGGAGAUUGGCUGACAUCCUUGAGAAGCUGGAACCAGAGAGCCUUUUGUUUUCUCUUUUUUUUCCUCUGUCUACACUCUGUCCUCACUUACACUACGUUUCUGCUAUGGUCUGUGGUUGACGACCUCAAAAUAAGUUCUGUUAAAUGUUUUUGGUUGGGGAAGUAACUUUAAUUUGGAAGAUGCUCUCACACGAGAAUUAGGGCCUAGAUUGUAAGCUCUUGCAGCAGUCACGUUUGUUCCUGGGCUUUGGUUAUUUCUAAAUUUUGAGGUGCUUUGUGCUUUCUUGUGUGACUUGAUAGCUCCCUGGAACUUUGAGUCUGUGUCACGUGAGACUCAAGAGCUGGGGUUUUCCAGCUCUGGAGGCGCUGAAGGAGCGGCGCUACUUCUAGAAGAUUGCUUCGUGCAGCAGCUGCUAAAGAAGCUGAAGAAGAAGGGACCAGACUUCAACUGGAAAUGUGAAUGGAGCUGAUCUGGCUAGAACUGAUGAAUCAGAAGGCAGUGUGGAGGAUGGUAGUGUCUGUAUUUCGGGACUUUGAUUUCUGUGUGAGACCAAAGGAGAAGAGAUGUAUUUUGUUCAAAAUUUAAAUUUUAUGUGGCACGCUAUCUGAUGUAACCUGUCUGAUCAGUUUGUUUGGACAACCCAACUCAGCUUUAUUUGAUGUGGAACCUAGAAUAGACAAGAUCUCGGUUUUGUACAAGUUGAUGUAAUACUCUGAUGCAUUUCAGGGGAUUCCGGGCAUAAAAUGGAAAAGAGAUGUGCAAAGGCUCUUGAGGGGCUGGGAAAGGAAAGGAGGACUGUCUGCAUUGGACCCUAAACUGGACAGGGACUAGGUAUUUCUGAAGUUCAUAAGUCGUCCUGCUAUAAGUUCAUUUGAGUAGCAGACUUGACAAGUAUUUGAGGUCAAAACCCUACCAUGUGUAAUAAAAAGGAAAAAAAAAAUGACCAUGUUAAUAAAAGUGUUCAUUUGCUUGAAAAGACAAAA